rnacentral:rRNA from 1 species
GUUGAACGCUGGCGGCGGGCCUAACACAUGCAAGUCGAGCGGAGGGAGGGAGCUCGCGCCUGGCUUCCGCGGGGGGCGGGCGGGUGAUGCACAGGAAGCUGCCCUGCAUUGGGGGAUGACGUCCCGUCACGGGCGCUGAUCCCGCACCCGUCAAGAUGGAGAAACUGGGGGAUCUUUGGACCACGCGCUAUUAGCUGAGACUAGGUCGGAUUAGCUAGUUGGUGGGGUAAAGGCCUACCAAGGCGACGAUCCGUAACUGGGCUGAGAGGAUGAUCAGCCACACUGGAACUGAGACACGGUCCAGACUCCCACGGGAGGCAGCAGUAGGGAAUAUUGCGCAAUGGGCGAAAGCCUGAUCCAGCCAUGCCGCGUGAGUGAAGAAGGUCUUCGGAUUGUAAAGCACUGUUAGUUGGGAGGAAGGGCAGUAUGUGAAAACCUUGCUGUCUUGACGUUACCAAAACAAUAAGCACCGGCUAACUACGUG